AACGAACGUUGGCGGCGUGGCUUAGGCAUGCAAGUCGAACGAAUCCCUGGGGGCAACUCUGGGGGGCAGUGGCGAAAGGGGCAGUAAGGCAUGGGUAACCUCCCCUGGGGACCGGGGUAGCCCUCCUAACGGAGGGGUAAUACCGGGCGAUGCGGCGAGCUCGCAUGGUCUUGCCGUGAGAUGCGUUUCGCCUCGGGAGGGGCUCAUGUGAUAUUCGCUAGUUGGUGGGGUAAUGGCCCACCAAGGCUUCGAUGUCUAGCGGGGGUGAGAGCACGACCCGCGCCACUGGCACUGAGAAACUGGCCAGACUCUUACUGGAGGCUGCAGUCGAGGAUCUUCGGGAAUGGGCGCAGGCCGGACCGAGCGUCGCCGCGUGCGCGACGAAGGCCUUCGGGUUGUAAAGCGCUGUAGAGGGGGAGGAACGCCGCAAGGCUUGACCUAUCCCUGGAGGAAGGACGGGCUAAGUUCGUGCCAGCAGCCGCCGUAAAAC
rnacentral:rRNA from 1 species